rnacentral:rRNA from 1 species
CAGCCGCCACGGGAAUACAGAGGGUGCGAGCGUUAAUCGGAUUUACUGGGCGUAAAGCGUGCGUAGGCGGCUUCUUAAGUCGGAUGUGAAAUCCCUGAGCUUAACUUAGGAAUUGCAUUCGAUACUGGGAAGCUAGAGUAUGGGAGAGGAUGGUAGAAUUCCAGGUGUAGCGGUGAAAUGCGUAGAGAUCUGGAGGAAUACCGAUGGCGAAGGCAGCCAUCUGGCCUAAUACUGACGCUGAGGUACGAAAGCAUGGGGAGCAAACAGGAUUAGAUACCCCGGUAGUCCCUGUCUUUUAUAC